rnacentral:rRNA from 1 species
ACUGCUAUCGGGGUGGGACUAAGACAUGCGAGUCGAGCGUCUCUAGCUAUGUUGAGACGCGGCAUACGGCUCAGUAACACGUGGCUAACCUACCCUCAGGACGGGGACAAACCCGGGAAACUGGGGCUAAUAUCCGAUAGGCGAGGAAUCCUGGAAUGGUUCUUCACCCAAAGGACAUUGGAAACAUGCUUUCUCUGUCGCCUGGGGAUGGGGCCGCGACCGAUCAGGUUGUUGGUGAGGUAAUGGCUCACCAAGCCUAUAACCGGUACGGGCCGUGAGAGCGGUAGCCCGGAGAUGGGUACUGAGACAAGGACCCAGGCCCUACGGGGCGCAGCAGUCGCGAAAACUCCGCAAUGCACGAAAGUGUGACGGGGCUACCCCGAGUGCCGUCCGCUGAGGAUGGCUUUUCCUUGGUGUAACUAGCCGGGGGAAUAAGGAGAGGGCAAGACUGGUGUCAGCCGCCGCGGUAAUACCAGCUCUCCGAGUGGUAGGGAUGAUUAUUGGGCUUAAAGCGUCCGUAGCCGGCUUAGCAAGUCUCCUGUUAAAUUCAGCGACCUAAUCGUUGACCCGCGGGAGAUACUACUAGGCUAGGAGGCGGGAGAGGUCGACGGUACUUCUGGGGUAGGGGUGAAAUCCUAUAAUCCCGGGAGGACCACCAGUGGCGAAGGCUGUCGACUAGAACGCGCUCGACGGUGAGGGACGAAAGCUGGGGGAGCGAACCGGAUUAGAUACCCGGGUAGUCCCAGCUGUAAACGAUGCGGGCUAGGUGUUGGGGUGGCUACGUGCCACUUCAGUGCCGCAGGGAAGCCAUUAAGCCCGCCGCCUGGGGAGUACGGCCGCAAGGCUGAAACUUAAAGGAAUUGGCGGGGGAGCACCACAAGGCGUGAAG